rnacentral:rRNA from 1 species
UACGUAGGGGGCUUGCGUUGUCCGGAAUCAUUGGGCGUAAAGCGCGCGUAGGCGGCCCGGUAAGUCCGCUCUGAAAGUCCAGGGCUCAACCCUGGAAAGCGGGUGGAUACUGCCGGGCUAGAAUCCGGAAGAGGCGAGUGGAAUUCCUGGUGUAGCGGUGGAAUGCGCAGAUAUCAGGAGGAACACCAAUAGCGAAGGCAGCUCGCUGGGACGGUAUUGACGCUGAGGCGCGAAAGCGUGGGGAGCGAACAGG